rnacentral:lncRNA from 1 species
AAAUGGACACGCUUAGGCUGUACGAGUAUACAUCUUUAUGAAUCACAGUUAUUCAUUCUACAUGACAAAUUUCCAUGGUACCUACAAUCUCAAGGCUUGGUCAAGAAAAGAGUUUUUCAUUGCAGAAGCCAAUACUCUUCAUCAGCACCCAACAGACCCCAGUUGCAUUUGGUUUCAAUUUCUUCUGCAUUUGUUUCCUUUGGGACAGAACAUUUCAGAUUGCUGUUAAUAGGGUCAGAUGUCACCUUCAGUCAAAUCCGUGAACAACUUUUUUUUUUUUUCACUAAUGCAUUUCUCGUUCCUGGUUGUUUAUCUUUUCAGGUGACCUCUCUCUCUCUCUCUCUCUCUCUCUCU